AUACGGAGGGGGUUAGCGUUGUUCGGAAUUACUGGGCGUAAAGCGUACGUAGGCGGACUGGAAAGUUGGGGGUGAAAUCCCGGGGCUCAACCCCGGAACUGCCUCCAAAACUUCCAAUCUAGAGAUCGAGAGAGGUGAGUGGAAUUCCAAGUGUAGAGGUGAAAUUCGUAGAUAUUUGGAGGAGCACCAGUGGCGAAAGCGGCUCACUGGCUCGAUACUGACGCUGAGGUACGAAAGCGUGGGGAGCAAACAGGAUUAGAUACCCUAGUAGUCC
rnacentral:rRNA from 1 species